rnacentral:rRNA from 1 species
AUGAGUGUGGGGAUGGAGGGAAAUAUGGUGUUACCGAUUCUCCUUCCUCAAGUUUUGCAUCUCAAGUUCAUGAGGCCAUGGAAGAUUUUUUUCAAUGUCCCAGAUAUUGAUAACACCGACAGUCACAGAGAGGCCCCGUCUAAAUCGCAGCGCACUCCAACUCCGUGGCCUCAAAGGGUCCGACUUGGCAAGAUACCCGACCGCCGCGCCUCAUUAUCAGGAAGGAAAAGUGUUUUGGAGAUGGCCAUGAGAAAUUAUGCAGAUCGGGCGAAGCCUUCAAUCUCUCGUGCGGUGUCCGUGGACAGCUUAUGUUCAUUACCCUCGGAGUGCGCCCCAGAUCGGAGAUCGCCAGAGGAGGAAGACAGUGGCGAGUGUUCCUCCAUGUCGCUUCUCCUUCCUCAAGCCAAGAUGGAGAGAAAUCUGCUGCUAGCGACGCAGAAUCUGAAGUUCCGAAGGCCAUGCCAGACUUCUGUCCUUCCAACUCCGUGGCUGGGAAGGGGUGGCUUGGGUUACAAGAUCAUGCCGCAACUGAACUGCAUGACCAAGAUAUGCCUGUCAUAA